AUCCAGCUGAAGAGUCUUAAAUAGGACGAAAUGCAUGUCGUGGAU
rnacentral:hammerhead_ribozyme from 1 species